rnacentral:ncRNA from 1 species
GAUGACCGGCUGGACACUCGCGUGCCCGGCCCACAAGUGGAGGCUCCGAUCUCCCACCUGACCGUCCCCCGGGACGGCGGGUCACCCCGGUCAGGCGGCCACCAUCGUUCCGUACGGACGAUGGAGUCGCCCGAAUGUGCGCCCCGCGAUCAUUGCGGCGGUGCUCCGGCAGUGUUUUGGAGCCCCGUCUUGUGAUCGUCCGGGGCAUUUUUU